GAUGAACGCUGGCGGCGUGCCUAAUACAUGCAAGUCGAGCGAACGGACGAGAAGCUUGCUUCUCUGAUGUUAGCGGCGGACGGGUGAGUAACACGUGGAUAACCUACCUAUAAGACUGGGAUAACUUCGGGAAACCGGAGCUACUACCGGAUAAUAUUUUGAACCGCAUGGUUCAAAAGUGAAAGACGGUCUUGCUGUCACUUAUAGAUGGAUCCGCGCUGCAUUAGCUAGUUGGUAAGGUAACGGCUUACCAAGGCAACGAUGCAUAGCCGACCUGAGAGGGUGAUCGGCCACACUGGAACUGAGACACGGUCCAGACUCCUACGGGAGGCAGCAGUAGGGAAUCUUCCGCAAUGGGCGAAAGCCUGACGCAGCAACGCCGCGUGAGUGAUGAAGGUCUUCGGAUCGUAAAACUCUGUUAUUAGGGAAGAACAUAUGUGUAAGUAACUGUGCACAUCUUGACGGUACCUAAUCAGAAAGCCACGGCUAACUACGUG
rnacentral:rRNA from 1 species